AACAAGUACCAUCAGACAUGCUGUUGUUUGGGAACUAAAUGUAAACUAUUGUGAGCUGCUCAGAUGAAGAAUGGAGGAACAAAUGAGCCCCUCCAACCCCAGAAUGGCCUGAAAUAUCAUCUCUGCCCACUGUAGUAUGUUCUGCAGAGUGCAUGUGAAAGGAACUAUGUUUAUCAGCAAAAGGAAUCCUUCACCAAUGCUAGUCCACCAAUGUCACCACAAGCAUUGAAGAGCCACAGGAGUCACAGCUUCUUUAAAGUGCAAUUGUCCCUUUAUGGUCCCUUUCUACUGUCACAAUUCUCAAAUGAAUGCAAACAGCACGCUGGUGGGUCUCCAAAGCUUAAUUAAAGCUCAAGAUUUGAAUAUAUCACAUCGCUUUGCAUUUGUCCUUCAAACAGAUAUACAGUGCAAACAAAAAUAGAGAACAACAUAAUUUUGUAUUACUCUAGCUGAACGAUUAGAAAAUGAAAUAAACGAAGCCUUCAGAAAUAAUUAGUAUUGUCAUUCGCUUAUCUGGAUGCAUUUUGACAAAUGAAUGUGCAUCUGAAGUUUAUAACCAAAUACAUAUUACGUGAUUCCUACCAAAACAAUGAUUCGUUGUGCAAAUCUUAAUCAGUUCAAGCUUUAAAAAUAUCUGAUUUACCUGUUUGAAACAGGUAGAUUUUUAAAAAAAUCUCCCUGAGUUAUUACUCAGUGUUUGAAACAAUAUAUUCAGAUGAUUGUUUAAAUAUGACUAUACU